GAUGAAGAACGUAGCGAAAUGCGAUAAGUAAUGUGAAUUGCAGAAUUCAGUGAAUCAUCGAAUCUUUGAACUCACCUUGCGCUCCUUGGUAUUCCGAGGAGCAUGCCUGUUUGAGUGUCAUUAAUAUAUCAACCUCUUCAGCUUAUGCUUGUUGAGUGUUGGAUGGUGGGGGUUUGCUGGUGUCUUAUGAAGUCAGCUCCUCUGAAAUGCAUUAGCGGAACAAUUUGUUGACCGUUCAUUGGUGUGAUAAAAAUAUCUACGCUAUUGACGUCAGUCAGUUCAGCUUCUAACAGUCCAUUGACUUGGACAAAUUUUUCAUUAAUGUGACCUCAAAUCAGGUAGGACUACCCGCUGAACUUAAGCAUAUCAAUAAGCGGAGGA
rnacentral:misc_RNA from 1 species